rnacentral:tRNA from 1 species
GCCGGAGUGGUGAAAUUGGUAGACGCGCGGGACUCAAAAUUCCGUGAGGGCAACCUCGUGUCGGUUCGAUUCCGACCUCCGGCA